CCUACGGGAGGCAUCAGUGAGGAAUAUUGGUCAAUGGACGAGAGUCUGAACCAGCCAAGUAGCGUGAAGGAUGACUGCCCUAUGGGUUGUAAACUUCUUUUAUAAAGGAAUAAAACGAGGCACGUGUGCCUUUUUGCUUGUACUUUAUGAAUAAGGAUCGGCUAACUCCGUGCCAGCAGCCGCGGUAAUACGGAGGAUCCGAGCGUUAUCCGGAUUUAUUGGGUUUAAAGGGAGCGUAGAUGGGUUGUUAAGUCAGUUGUGAAAGUUUGCGGCUCAACCGUAAAAUUGCAAUUGAUACUGGCAGUCGUGAGUACAGUUGAGGUAGGCGGAAUUCGUGGUGUAGCGGUGAAAUGCUUAGAUAUCACGAAGAACCCCGAUUGCGAAGGCAGCUUACUAAACUGUGACUGACAUUGAUGCUCGAAAGUGUGGGUAUCAAACAGGAUUAGAUACCCCAGUAGUC
rnacentral:rRNA from 1 species